GAAAUGCGAUAAGUAAUGUGAAUUGCAGAAUUCAGUGAAUCAUCGAAUCUUUGAACGCAUCUUGCGCUCCUUGGUAUUCCGAGGAGCAUGCCUGUUUGAGUGUCAUUUAAAUUCCUCAAACCACAUGGUACACUGUACUUUAUGUGGCUUUGGACGUGGGGGUUUUAUUUUUGCAGGCCUUUCUUUUGAGGUGUGCUCCCCUGAAAUGCAUUAGUGGUAUCUGGAGCAGAGGAGACUACUAGGUGUGAUAAAUUAUCUAUGCCUUUUGGUAUGCUGCAUGAAACAGAUUGGACCGCUUCUUGAAACACACAUUUAUUUUGACCAACUUGACCUCAAAUCAGGUAGGACUACCCGCUGAACUUAAGCAUAUCAAUAAGCGGAGGAAAAGAAACUAACAAGGAUUCCCCUAGU
rnacentral:rRNA from 1 species